rnacentral:rRNA from 1 species
CGUGAGNUAACCUGCCCCCUGACUUCGGGAUAANCCCGGGAAACUGGGUCUAAUACCGGAUACGACUGCCGGACGCAUGUCUGGUGGUGGAAAGUUUUUUCGGUUGGGGAUGGGCUCGCGGCCUAUCAGUUUGUUGGUGAGGUAAUGGCUCACCAAGACGACGACGGGUAGCCGGCCUGAGAGGGCGACCGGCCACACUGGGACUGAGACACGGCCCAGACUCCUACGGGAGGCAGCAGUGGGGAAUAUUGCACAAUGGGGGAAACCCUGAUGCAGCGACGCAGCGUGCGGGAUGACGGCCUUCGGGUUGUAAACCGCUUUCAGCAGGGAAGAAGCGCAAGUGACGGUACCUGCAGAAGAAGUACCGGCUAACUACGUGCCAGCAGCCGCGGUAAUACGUAGGGUACGAGCGUUGUCCGGAAUUAUUGGGCCGUAAAGAGCUCGUAGGUGGUUGGUCACGUCUGCUGUGGAAACGCAACGCUUAACGUUGCGCGUGCNAGUGGGGUACGGUCUGACUAGAGUGCAGUAGGGGGAGUCUGGGAAUUCCUGGUGUAGCGGUGUAAAUGCGCUAGAUAUCAGGAGGAACACCGGUGGCGAAGGGCGGG